UUAUAAGAGACAGCAGCCGCCGCGGUAAUACAGAGGGUGCGAGCGUUAAUCGGAUUUACUGGGCGUAAAGCGUGCGUAGGCGGCUUCUUAAGUCGGAUGUGAAAUCCCUGAGCUUAACUUAGGAAUUGCAUUCGAUACUGGGAAGCUAGAGUAUGGGAGAGGAUGGUAGAAUUCCAGGUGUAGCGGUGAAAUGCGUAGAGAUCUGGAGGAAUACCGAUGGCGAAGGCAGCCAUCUGGCCUAAUACUGACGCUGAGGUACGAAAGCAUGGGGAGCAAACAGGAUUAGAUACCCGCGUAGUCCCUGUCUCUUAUAC
rnacentral:rRNA from 1 species